UCAGGAUGAACGCUGGCGGCGUGCCUAACACAUGCAAGUCGAACGGAGAUUUAACGCUGAUGAGACUUCGGUCAAUUCUUGUCAAAUCUUAGUGGCGGACGGGUGAGUAACGCGUGGGCAACCUGCCUCGUACUGGGGGAUAACAGUUGGAAACGACUGUUAAUACCGCAUAAGCGCACGGUGUCGCAUGACACAGUGUGAAAAACUCCGGUGGUACGAGAUGGGCCCGCGUCAGAUUAGCCAGUUGGUGGGGUAACGGCCUACCAAAGCAACGAUCUGUAGCCGGACUGAGAGGUCGGACGGCCACAUUGGGACUGAGACACGGCCCAAACUCCUACGGGAGGCAGCAGUGGGGGAUAUUGCACAAUGGGCGAAAGCCUGAUGCAGCGACGCCGCCGUGAGUGAAGAAGUAUUUCGGUAUGUAAAGCUCUAUCAGCAGGGAAGAAAGACCCGCAAGGGGGAUGACGGUACCUGACUAAGAAGCCCCGGCUAACUACGUGCCAGCAGCAGC
rnacentral:rRNA from 1 species